rnacentral:lncRNA from 1 species
GACAUAUGAUGCCAAGCAGAUUGGGUCAAAUCCUGUGGGGCAGCUGAACUGUUCUUAAAUAAUUCUCUCUGGAAACAAACUGUCCCAGCAAAACCAAUUUCAUAUGGCUUCUGUAGUGAAUGAGCUGGAGUGAGUCAGUAAAGAUAGACUGUUUUGAUUACUACAAACUGUAUUGACAUCCUGCAGUGUGGAGAGCUCGGUUAGUUUGGGUUCAAAGACUCCUGGAACUUUUAAAGAUUUGUUUCUGCCUGGAAGAUUUGUCUUAUGGUCUGGAUGCCAAUAAUUUAAGAGAGUCAAUCAUGGUCACAAAUCAGAUAAAAAGCCUGUGAAGAGCUUGGACUGAAAGCCUUAGGAGUUCUGUGGUGUCC